rnacentral:rRNA from 1 species
GACAGAGGGUGCAAACGUUGCUCGGAAUUACUGGGCGUAAAGCGCGUGUAGGCGGAUUCAUAAGUCAGGUGUGAAGUCCCUGGGCUCAACCCAGGAACUGCACUUGAAACUGCGAGUCUUGAGUAAUGGAGAGGGAAGCGGAAUCCCUGGUGUAGAGGUGAAAUUCGUAGAUAUCAGGAGGAACACCGGUGGCGAAGGCGGCUUCCUGGACAUUAACUGACGCUGAGACGCGAAAGCGUGGGGAGCAAACAGG